GAUGAACGCUGGCGGCGUGCCUCAUACAUGCAAGUCGGACGAAGUCUUCGGACUUAGUGGCGGACGGGUGAGUAACACGUGGGAACGUGCCUUUAGGUUCGGAAUAACUCAGGGAAACUUGUGCUAAUACCGAAUGUGCCCUUCGGGGGAAAGAUUUAUCGCCUUUAGAGCGGCCCGCGUCUGAUUAGCUAGUUGGUGAGGUAAAGGCUCACCAAGGCUACGAUCAGUAGCUGGUCUGAGAGGAUGACCAGCCACAUUGGGACUGAGACACGGCCCAAACUCCUACGGGAGGCAGCAGUGGGGAAUCUUGCGCAAUGGGCGAAAGCCUGACGCAGCCAUGCCGCGUGGAUGAUGAAGGUCUUAGGAUUGUAAAAUCCUUUCACCGGUGAAGAUAAUGACUGUAGCCGGAGAAGAAGCCCCGGCUAACUUCGUGCCAGCCGCCGCAGUAAGAC
rnacentral:rRNA from 1 species